rnacentral:rRNA from 1 species
GACGAACGCUGGCGGUGUGCUUAACACAUGCAAGUCGAACGGUAAGGCCCUUUCGGGGGUACACGAGUGGCGAACGGGUGAGUAACACGUGAGUAACCUGCCCUCAUCUCUGGGAUAACAGUCGGAAACGGUUGCUAAUACUGGAUAUGAGCUUGCAAGGCAUCUUGUGGGCUGGAAAGAUUUUUUUGGUUGGGGAUGGACUCGCGGCCUAUCAGCUUGUUGGUGAGGUAGUGGCUCACCAAGGCUUCGACGGGUAGCCGGCCUGAGAGGGCGACCGGCCACAUUGGGACUGAGAUACGGCCCAAACUCCUACGGGAGGCAGCAGUGGGGAAUAUUGCACAAUGGACGGAAGUCUGAUGCAGCAACGCCGCGUGCGGGAUGACGGCCUUCGGGUUGUAAACCGCUUUCAAUUGUGACGAAGCUUUUUGUGACGGUAGCAGUAGAAGAAGCACCGGCUAACUACGUG